UGGGGAAUCUUGGACAAUGGGCGCAAGCCUGAUCCAGCCAUGCCGCGUGAGUGAUGAAGGCCCUAGGGUUGUAAAACUCUUUCGUGGGGGACGAUAAUGACGGUACCCCAAGAAGAAGCACCGGCUAACUACGUGCCAGCAGCCGCGGUAAUACGUAGGUGGCAAGCGUUGUCCGGAAUUAUUGGGCGUAAAGGGCGCGCAGGCGGCCGGUCAAGUCUGUCUUAAAAGUGCGGGGCUCAACCCCGUGAUGGGACGGAAACUGGCAGGCUGGAGUGUCGGAGAGGAAAGCAGAAUUCCUAGUGUAGCGGUGAAAUGCGUAGAUAUUAGGAGGAAUACCAGUGGCGAAAGCGGCUUUCUGGACGACAACUGACGCUGAGGCGCGAAAGCCAGGGGAGCAAACGGGAUUAGAUACCCCGGUAGUCCUGGCCGUAAACGAUGGGUACUAGGUGUAGGAGGUAUCGACCCCUUCUGUGCCGGAGUUAACGCAAUAAGUAUCCCGCCUGGGGAGUACGGCCGCAAGGCUG
rnacentral:rRNA from 1 species